UACGAAGGGGGCUAGCGUUGUUCGGAAUCACUGGGCGUAAAGCGCACGUAGGCGGAUCGCUAAGUCGGGGGUGAAAUCCCGAGGCUCAACCUCGGAACUGCCUUCGAUACUGGCGAUCUUCGAGUCCGGGAGAGGUGAGUGGAACUCCGAGUGUAGAGGUGAAAUUCGUAGAUAUUCGGAAGAACACCAGUGGCGAAGGCGGCUCACUGGCCCGGUACUGACGCUGAGGUGCGAAAGCGUGGGGAGCAAACAGG
rnacentral:rRNA from 1 species